ACCACAUUCAAGUUUAAGGACGAAAUUGAAUUUCAUCUCUAAAAAAAUUGGACCCUAACCGACCCAUUUCAUUUAGAUAAAUUUCUACAGUUGCAUAUGCUAAAGAGCUCUCUCGCACGAUCUGCAUUAACAAAUAAUCACUUCUGCUGAAAAUGGGGUUAUGGACAAUACUGGAAGGGUUUUUGCUGCUUGCAAAUGCAAUGGCAAUAUUAAACGAGGAUCGAUUCCCUGCACCCAGAGGUUGGAGUUUCUCGGAAUUUUCUACAGGGCAGACCAAAUCAUUUAAAGGCCAGCUUAUUGGUCUUAUUUAUGCUACCCAAUACAUGAGACUUCCUCUUAUUCUACUCAAUGCUAUCUGCAUUGUUGUAAUGUUGAUUUCUGGUUGAUGAUUGCAUUGCUCUUUCAAGUUCAGAUGUUAUUGUUUAUGACUUACUAUUACGUGAUAGGGAUUUAAAUAGCGGUAGCUAGCUCAAGUACUAUCAUAUACCCCUAUAAGUGACCUAUAUGCCAUAAGUCGGGUUCAAACUCCACCAAGGGCAAGCCACUCAAGUUGCCUCUUAGUGGGCGACUGUAUGCCCACGUAUAGUUGAAGUGCUCCCAGCUCUGUGAACCAGGUUCUCAGGGCAGCUCCUCAUGGCAUGUUGGCUCUCGACAGAGCACAGGAGACAAAAUCCUCUCUCAGGACAGUACCUUCGGUUGUUGGGGGACUGGCAACACUAUUCCGUGGUUAUUUUGCAGUUUCGACUCUCUACACGUGGUCGAUUAAACAGGGCAGGUAUUAGGCAUUCUGUUUUGGCUGGUUUUGGUUUGUGAUUUGAACAAUUUGGCAUGGAUUUGUUCAUUUAAUACUGCAAGUUUCUAUUGUGUUGCAUUGAUGCAAAUGUUGAAUAGGACAGAGUAGGAAAUGCAGAACUGGAUCAAUUCCUUUUAUUGGAACAUAUAAAUUACGUAAACAAGACUGGUGGAUCGAAUCGGCUACCUGUCAAAGAGAGAAAACGGCUUUUUGGCAGAAUUCAUGAAGUUGAACCCGGAAAAUCGGAAACGUGCAAGAGGUUGUGAAAGAUGGGAGCGUUCAGUUCAAAAAAUCAGCGGAUAAGUUCUUAAAAUCGAAUUUUAGGUUUUGUGAUGGGAUCAUAUUGAACUGGGAAAUGCAUCAUUUGUAUCAUUUGGGACAGCUUCUGCACUGUCAUUUUGAAGUACACAGUUUUAUUAUGGCUGAAAUUUGCUAUUAUUUGGCAUCACUUCAUGUAUCUGUUCUUUUGUUAGGCCUAACAGAAGUUUUUGGUCAGCUGGCACCGGGACAUGUACAUUUAAUAUUCUCAAAUAAAUUCAUUUAAUUUAAAUGAAUGAACAUGUACACACAACUAUAAUUUUUUUUAAAGAACAUUCCUUCAAGCUUGGUGUUCAUUUAGAUUAAUUAAGCCUGUAUCAAUAAACAAUGGCAUUGUUGAAAGGGUAAAUUAUUCUCAA